CCUACGGGAGGCAGCAGUAGGGAAUCUUCCACAAUGGGCGCAAGCCUGAUGGAGCAACACCGCGUGAGUGAAGAAGGGUUUCGGCUCGUAAAGCUCUGUUGUUGGAGAAGAACGUGCGUGAGAGUAACUGUUCACGCAGUGACGGUAUCCAACCAGAAAGUCACGGCUAACUACGUGCCAGCAGCCGCGGUAAUACGUAGGUGGCAAGCGUUAUCCGGAUUUAUUGGGCGGAAAGCGAGCGCAGGCGGUUGCUUAGGUCUGAUGUGAAAGCCUUCGGCUUAACCGAAGAAGUGCAUCGGAAACCGGGCAACUUGAGUGCAGAAGAGGACAGUGGAACUCCAUGUGUAGCGGUGGAAUGCGUAGAUAUAUGGAAGAACACCAGUGGCGAAGGCGGCUGUCUGGUCUGCAACUGACGCUGAGGCUCGAAAGCAUGGGUAGCGAACAGGAUUAGAUACCCGGGUAGUC
rnacentral:rRNA from 1 species